CACACGACUCUCGGCAACGGAUAUCUCGGCUCUCGCAUCGAUGAAGAACGUAGCGAAAUGCGAUACCUGGUGUGAAUUGCAGAAUCCCGCGAACCAUCGAGUCUUUGAACGCAAGUUGCGCCCGAUGCCACCCGGCUGAGGGCACGCCUGCCUGGGCGUCACGC
rnacentral:rRNA from 3 species